rnacentral:rRNA from 1 species
UACGUAGGGGGCAAGCGUUAUCCGGAUUUACUGGGCGUAAAGCGCGUUAAGGCGGCCGGCUAAGUUGGUGGUGAAAUUCCAGGGCUCAACCCUGGAACUGCCUCCAAUACUGGUCGGCUCGAGUGCGGGAGAGGAAGGUGGAAUUCCCGGUGUAGUAGUGAAAUGCGUAGAUAUCGGGAGGAACACCAGUGGCGAAGGCGGCUCACUGGCCCGAUACUGACGCUGAGGCACGAAAGCGUGGGGAGCAAACAGG